rnacentral:rRNA from 1 species
UACGUAGGGGGCGAGCGUUGUCCGGAUUUAUUGGGCGUAAAGAGCGUGUAGGCGGCCUGGUAGGUCUGCUGUGAAAACUCGAGGCUCAACCUCGAGAUGUCGGCGGAAACCAUCUGGCUAGAGUCCGGAAGAGGAGAGUGGAAUUCCUGGUGUAGCGGUGAAAUGCGCAGAUAUCAGGAAGAACACCUAUGGCGAAGGCAGCUCUCUGGGACGGUACUGACGCUGAGACGCGAAAGCGUGGGGAGCGAACAGG